rnacentral:misc_RNA from 1 species
GAAAUGCGAUAAGUAGUGUGAAUUGCAGAAUUCAGUGAAUCAUCGAAUCAUUGAACGCACAUUGCGCCCCUUGGUAUUCCAUGGGGCAUGCCUGUUCGAGCGUCAUUUGUACCCUCAAGCUCUGCUUGGUGUUGGGUGUUUGUCCCGUCUCCGCGCGUGGACUCGCCCCAAAGUGAUUGGCAGCCGGCGUACUGGUCCCGGAGCGCAGCACAUGUCGCGCAAACGAGUGCCUUGGUACGGCGGCGUCCAUAAGCCCCUCUCUCACGCUCUUGACCUCGGAUCAGGUAGGGAUACCCGCUGAACUUAAGC